GGGUUGUGAGGUUAAGCGACUAAGCGUACACGGUGGAUGCCCUGGCAGUCAGAGGCGAUGAAGGACGUGCUAAUCUGCGAUAAGCGUCGGUAAGGUGAUAUGAACCGUUAUAACCGGCGAUUUCCGAAUGGGGAAACCCAGUGUGUUUCGACACACUAUCAUUAACUGAAUCCAUAGGUUAAUGAGGCGAACCGGGGGAACUGAAACAUCUAAGUACCCCGAGGAAAAGAAAUCAACCGAGAUUCCCCCAGUAGCGGCGAGCGAACGGGGAGGAGCCCAGAGCCUGAAUCAGUGUGUGUGUUAGUGGAAGCGUCUGGAAAGGCGCGCGAUACAGGGUGACAGCCCCGUACACAAAAAUGCACAUGCUGUGAGCUCGAUGAGUAGGGCGGGACACGUGGUAUCCUGUCUGAAUAUGGGGGGACCAUCCUCCAAGGCUAAAUACUCCUGACUGACCGAUAGUGAACCAGUACCGUGAGGGAAAGGCGAAAAGAACCCCGGCGAGGGGAGUGAAAAAGAACCUGAAACCGUGUACGUACAAGCAGUGGGAGCCUCUUUUAUGGGGUGACUGCGUACCUUUUGUAUAAUGGGUCAGCGACUUAUAUUCUGUAGCAAGGUUAACCGAAUAGGGGAGCCGAAGGGAAACCGAGUCUUAACUGGGCGUUAAGUUGCAGGGUAUAGACCCGAAACCCGGUGAUCUAGCCAUGGGCAGGUUGAAGGUUGGGUAACACUAACUGGAGGACCGAACCGACUAAUGUUGAAAAAUUAGCGGAUGACUUGUGGCUGGGGGUGAAAGGCCAAUCAAACCGGGAGAUAGCUGGUUCUCCCCGAAAGCUAUUUAGGUAGCGCCUCGUGAAUUCAUCUCCGGGGGUAGAGCACUGUUUCGGCAAGGGGGUCAUCCCGACUUACCAACCCGAUGCAAACUGCGAAUACCGGAGAAUGUUAUCACGGGAGACACACGGCGGGUGCUAACGUCCGUCGUGAAGAGGGAAACAACCCAGACCGCCAGCUAAGGUCCCAAAGUCAUGGUUAAGUGGGAAACGAUGUGGGAAGGCCCAGACAGCCAGGAUGUUGGCUUAGAAGCAGCCAUCAUUUAAAGAAAGCGUAAUAGCUCACUGGUCGAGUCGGCCUGCGCGGAAGAUGUAACGGGGCUAAACCAUGCACCGAAGCUGCGGCAGCGACGCUUAUGCGUUGUUGGGUAGGGGAGCGUUCUGUAAGCCUGUGAAGGUGUGCUGUGAGGCAUGCUGGAGGUAUCAGAAGUGCGAAUGCUGACAUAAGUAACGAUAAAGCGGGUGAAAAGCCCGCUCGCCGGAAGACCAAGGGUUCCUGUCCAACGUUAAUCGGGGCAGGGUGAGUCGACCCCUAAGGCGAGGCCGAAAGGCGUAGUCGAUGGGAAACAGGUUAAUAUUCCUGUACUUGGUGUUACUGCGAAGGGGGGACGGAGAAGGCUAUGUUGGCCGGGCGACGGUUGUCCCGGUUUAAGCGUGUAGGCUGGUUUUCCAGGCAAAUCCGGAAAAUCAAGGCUGAGGCGUGAUGACGAGGCACUACGGUGCUGAAGCAACAAAUGCCCUGCUUCCAGGAAAAGCCUCUAAGCAUCAGGUAACAUCAAAUCGUACCCCAAACCGACACAGGUGGUCAGGUAGAGAAUACCAAGGCGCUUGAGAGAACUCGGGUGAAGGAACUAGGCAAAAUGGUGCCGUAACUUCGGGAGAAGGCACGCUGAUAUGUAGGUGAAGCGACUUGCUCGUGGAGCUGAAAUCAGUCGAAGAUACCAGCUGGCUGCAACUGUUUAUUAAAAACACAGCACUGUGCAAACACGAAAGUGGACGUAUACGGUGUGACGCCUGCCCGGUGCCGGAAGGUUAAUUGAUGGGGUCAGCGCAAGCGAAGCUCUUGAUCGAAGCCCCGGUAAACGGCGGCCGUAACUAUAACGGUCCUAAGGUAGCGAAAUUCCUUGUCGGGUAAGUUCCGACCUGCACGAAUGGCGUAAUGAUGGCCAGGCUGUCUCCACCCGAGACUCAGUGAAAUUGAACUCGCUGUGAAGAUGCAGUGUACCCGCGGCAAGACGGAAAGACCCCGUGAACCUUUACUAUAGCUUGACACUGAACAUUGAGCCUUGAUG
rnacentral:rRNA from 1 species